rnacentral:rRNA from 1 species
AUUGAACGCUGGCGGCAUGCCUUACACAUGCAAGUCGAACGGUAACAGGUCUUCGGAUGCUGACGAGUGGCGCACGGGUGAGUAAUACAUCGGAACGUGCCCAGACGUGGGGGAUAACGAGGCGAAAGCUUUGCUAAUACCGCAUACGAUCUAAGGAUGAAAGCAGGGGACCGCAAGGCCUUGUGCGUUUGGAGCGGCCGAUGGCAGAUUAGGUAGUUGGUGGGAUAAAAGCUUACCAAGCCGACGAUCUGUAGCUGGUCUGAGAGGACGACCAGCCACACUGGGACUGAGACACGGCCCAGACUCCUACGGGAGGCAGCAGUGGGGAAUUUUGGACAAUGGGCGAAAGCCUGAUCCAGCAAUGCCGCGUGCAGGAUGAAGGCCUUCGGGUUGUAAACUGCUUUUGUACGGAACGAAAAGGCUCUGGCUAAUACCUGGGGCACAUGACGGUACCGUAAGAAUAAGCACCGGCUAACUACGUG